rnacentral:lncRNA from 1 species
UGCUAAGCCACUGGCCAGGAGAUGAUGCUGAAUAGGGAGAGUUCAGGCUUUUGAGACCGCCUGCCCUGAGUAGGAAUCCUGUCCCUGAAAAAUGCUAAGCGUUUGACCCUGCACAGGUUUAAUAACCAGCCUUAGUCUCACCUGAAAAGUAGGAAUAACAAUAAUCACCUUGAAAAUAUGUGUCAGGAUUAAGGGAGUUCACAUCUGUCAAACUUUAGCACGAAGAGGCAUUCAUUUCAUAUUCAUUGAUAUAAUAUGAAUGGUACCAUAUUCAUUCUUACUAUUUCAUCCAAAUGAGAAGAGAACUUUCAGAGAGAAUGGAAUAGAAGAAGUCAAGAUUGGACAGGACAUGAGUUAGGAGAGAGGGUGAUGGCUUGGACCAAGGUGAUGGUCCUGGAGACAAAGAGAAAUUUGCAGCUUUCAGAUGUGUUUUUACAUGGAAGGAAGAACUGACCAGACAUGCUGAUGGGCUGAACAAGAGGAAUCCAGCCUAAGGAGACAGUCAGAAGUGCUCACCAAGAUUCAGAGGUUCUUCAUUGCCUUACCAUAUUUGUAAGUCACAAACUGGAAGCUACCACAGGGUCCAGCCUUAUGAGAGUGGUGCAGUCAAUCCCAGAUCUUCCAUAUGACAGGGAGCUGGUCAUCCUUCAAAGUGCUGCUUACUAAGAUGACAAUGAGACUGGAAAAUUCUCAUUAAAUAAACAAAUGGCUGGGUAUGACCACAAUCCCAGUUCUGGCCGAUGGUAUGUAGGCAGAGCCAAUGGAGGCAAACAGCCUCUCCUUUCCCUUCUUUCCUUCUUGUCACCUGGGAUGAGGAUGUGAAGGUGAAUCUUCAGGGACCAUGCAGAGCGGGCAACACGCUGGAGAUGGCAGCUGAGUGAGAAGAUCAAAGGAGCCUGGUUCGGACAGUUGACAUCAAGAUUGACACAUGAGAAACAAGAUGGACUUUGAAGGAAGACAACCACAACAACUCCUAGAUUACACAGUAAAGAUGCAUUUAAGCCAGCA